rnacentral:rRNA from 1 species
AGAGUUUGAUCAUGGCUCAGGACGAACGCUGGCGGCGUGCCUAAUACAUGCAAGUCGAGCGAGCUGAAUUCAAAGAACCCUUCGGGGUGAUUUGUUGGACGCUAGCGGCGGAUGGGUGAGUAACACGUGGGCAAUCUGCCCUAAAGACUGGGAUAACACUUGGAAACAGGUGCUAAUACCGGAUAACAACAUGAAUCGCAUGAUUCAAGUCUGAAAGGCGGCGUAAGCUGUCACUUUAGGAUGAGCCCGCGGCGCAUUAGCUAGUUGGUGGGGUAAAGGCCUACCAAGGCAAUGAUGCGUAGCCGAGUUGAGAGACUGAUCGGCCACAUUGGGACUGAGACACGGCCCAAACUCCUACGGGAGGCAGCAGUAGGGAAUCUUCCACAAUGGACGCAAGUCUGAUGGAGCAACGCCGCGUGAGUGAAGAAGGUUUUCGGAUCGUAAAGCUCUGUUGUUGGUGAAGAAGGAUAGAGGCAGUAACUGGUCUUUAUUUGACGGUAAUCAACCAGAAAGUCACGGCUAACUACGUGCCAGCAGCCGCGGUAAUACGUAGGUGGCAAGCGUUGUCCGGAUUUAUUGGGCGUAAAGCGAGCGCAGGCGGAAUGAUAAGUCUGAUGUGAAAGCCCACGGCUCAACCGUGGAACUGCAUCGGAAACUGUCAUUCUUGAGUGCAGAAGAGGAGAGUGAACUCCAUGUGUAGCGGUG